CCCUUAGAUGUUCUGGGCUGCACGCGCGCUACACUGAAGGACUCAACGUGCUUGUCUCCUUGGCCGUCAGGUCUGGGUAACCCGUUGAACCUCCUUCGUGCUAGGGAUUGGGGCUUGUAAUUAUUCCCCAUGAACGAGGAAUUCCCAGUAAGCGCGAGUCAUCAUCUCGCGUUGAUUACGUCCCUGCCCUUUGUACACACCGCCCGUCGCUACUACCGAUUGAACGUUUUAGUGAGGUACUCGGACUGAGCCUCAGAAGAUUCACGUCUUUUGUGCUGCUCGGGAAGAUUCCCAAACUUGAGCGUUUAGAGGAAGUAAANGUCGUNACA
rnacentral:rRNA from 1 species